AUUGAACGCUGGCGGCAGGCCUAACACAUGCAAGUCGAACGAGUGGCGGACGGGUGAGUAAUGUCUGGGAACCUGCCUGACGGAGGGGGCUAACUACUGGAAACGGUAGCUAAUACUGCAUACCACCGGUUGGGCCCAGAUGGGAUUAGCUAGUAGGUGGGGUAAAGGCUCACCUAGGCGAAGAUCCCUAGCUGGUCUGAGAGGAUGACCGGCCACACUGGAACUUAGACACGGUCCAGACUCCGACGGGAGGCAGCAGUGGGGAAUAUUGCACAAUGGGCGCAAGCCUGAUGCAGCCAUGCCGCGUGUAUGAAGAAGGCCUUAGGGUUGUAAAGUACUUUCAGCGGGGAGGCGUUACCCGCAGAAGAAGCACCGGCUAACUCCGUGCCAGCAGCCGCGGUAAUAC
rnacentral:rRNA from 1 species